CAAUCCAUGAGUAGAGUGGCAAACGGGUGAGUAACGCGUGGGCGACCUACCUUCGAGUGGGGGAUAACCUUCCGAAAGGAGGGCUAAUACCGCAUGACAUCCCGUGUUUGGAUACACGGACAUCAAAGCCGGGGAUCGCAAGACCUGGCGCUUGAAGAGGGGCCCGCGUCCGAUUAGCUAGUUGGUGGGGUAACGGCUCACCAAGGCUCCGAUCGGUAUCCGGCCUGAGAGGGCGGACGGACACACUGGAACUGAGACACGGUCCAGACUCCUACGGGAGGCAGCAGUGGGGAAUUGUUCGCAAUGGGCGCAAGCCUGACGACGCAACGCCGCGUGGAGGAUGAAGACCUUCGGGUCGUAAACUCCUUUCGACCGAGAUGAAUUCUCGCCGACCUAACACGUCGGCGAGGUGACAGUAUCGAGGGAAGCAGCCCCGGCUAACUCCGUGCCAGCAGCCGCGGUAAUACGGGGGGGGCGAGCGUUGUUCGGAAUUACUGGGCGUAAAGGGUUUGUAGGUGGUCUGCUAAGUCAGACGUGAAAUCCCUCAGCUUAACUGGGGAACUGCGUCUGAUACUGGCGGACUUGAGGACAGGAGAGGAACGCGGAAUUCCAGGUGUAGCGGUGAAAUGCGUAGAUAUCUGGAGGAACACCGGUGGCGAAGGCGGCGUUCUGGACUGUUUCUGACACUGAAAAACGAAAGCCAGGGGAGCAAACGGGAUUAGAUACCCCGGUAGUCCUGGCCCUAA
rnacentral:rRNA from 1 species